rnacentral:rRNA from 1 species
UACGUAGGGGGCAAGCGUUGUCCGGAAUCAUUGGGCGUAAAGCGCGUGUAGGCGGUUCGAUAAGUCUGCUGUGAAAGUCCAGGGCUCAACCCUGGAAAGCCGGUGGAUACUGUCGGACUAGAGUGCGGAAGAGGCGAGUGGAAUUCCCGGUGUAGCGGUGAAAUGCGUAGAUAUGUGGAGGAACACCUGUGGCGAAGGCGCCUUGCUGGCCAAUUUCUGACGCUGAGGCGCGAAAGCGUGGGGAGCAAACAGG